AUGAAUACCAUGGAACCAGGAUCACAGGCCCUGGUUAUUGUGGGGGAUUUCAACUACCCUGACAUUUGCUGGAAGGCCUACUCAGCCAGCCAUCCGCAGUCCAGGAGGUUCCUUCAUUGUAUUGAUGAUAACUUCCUGAUGCAAAUGGUGGACGUGCCAACUAGGAGAGGAGCGCUGCUGGAUCUUGUCCUCGCUAACAAGGAGGGUCUGGUUGAAACGGUGAAGGUUGAGGGCAGCCUUGGUUGCAGCGACCAUGAGACGGUGGAGUUUGGGAUCUCAUGUGGCAGGAACAGAGUACCGAGCAGAAUCGCAACCCUGGACUUCAGUAGGGCCGACUUUGGCCUUUUCAAGCAUUUGCUAGGGGAAAUUCCAUGGGACAAGGUACUUGAAGGAAAAGGAGCCCAAGACAGCUGGUUAGCAUUCAAGGACUGCUUCUUCCGAGCUCAAGAACAGAGCAACCCAACAGGUAAGAAGUCAGGAAAGAGAGCCAGGAGACCUUCAUGGUUAAACAGGGAAGUGCUGGGCAAACUCAGGUGGAAGAGGACAGUCUACAGAUCAUGGAAGGAGGGGCUGGCCACUUACGAGGAAUAUAAGGCUGUUGUCAGAGGAUUUAGGGAGGCAACUAGGAAAGCUAAGGCCUCCUUAGAAUUAAACCUUGCGAGAAGGGUCAAGGACAACAGAAAGAGCUUCUUCAAAUACAUUGCAGAUAAAACUAACACUAGAGGCAAGGUAGGCCCACUAAUGAAUGAGGUGGGUGCUCUGGCAACAGAAGAUAAAGAGAAGGCAGAGUUACUGAAUGCCUUCGUCUCUGUCUAUAAUGCCAGUGACUCUCCUGAGGAGCUCUGUACCCCUGAGGCCCCAGAUGAAGUCAGAAUAAAGGAGGAGUUUGCCUUGGUUGAUGAGGGCUGGGUUAAGGACCAAUUAAGCAAGAUGGACAUCCACAAGUCCAUGGGUCCUGAGGGGAUGCACCUGCAGGUGCUGAGGGAGCUGGCAGAAGUCAUUGCUAGCCCACUCUCCAUCAUCUUUGGUAAGUCGUGGGCAUCGGGAGAGGUGCUUGAGCACUGA
rnacentral:lncRNA from 1 species